AAAAGCAUACGAUUCACUUGUGUGUUGCUUCGGUGGGUUGCUUCCACAGGAGGAUUCUUUGGAGCACUUGAACCUGAAGAAAUGAAAAGCAUGGACAUUAAAGAAAAUUGAUGAUCAUGCAAGACGAUGAGCAAAUUCGGGUUGGUAGUUAGAAGGCUUGUGUUGAAAUACAUGGAAGAAGAGAAACACACCAAGAAGACAAUUCAAAUUACCUGAACUAAAGAAAAGAAACAAGAAAAAUAACGCAGAAUGCCGAAGAGAGCUAACACCCAUUUCUACUUCUUCUACACCUUGUGAUUAUAGAUUUUUCUUCUGGGCUCAAAACAAUGAUGGAGAAGCUAAGAUAUACUACACAAGAGAAAUAGAAAUGGUGGUUGUUGCAAAAAGAAGAGUUCAUCUCUUUUCUCUGCAUUUGUUAUAUAUAUCUUGAGGAAUCAUAGCUUUCUUGGAUCGAAGAGAAGAUGAAAAGAGAGAAGGGAGAAUAUAGAAAACUUGAGAAAGGAGGCAUUAGGGUAGUUGGAUAUUGCAAGCAAGAGAUGGUGCAACCUAAAAAAAAGUAUCUGAAAUGGUGAAAGGCAAAAGAAUGAUUUCAUGGAAUUUAAAUCUCAUGUUUUGGCUAAUAAGAAAUUGGGUAUCUCUGUGACA